AGAGCCUGAGUGCGCCGCCGGUUCAGCCGGGCAGGGUCGCCUCGCGCCAGGAUGCUGCGCCCCGCCGCCCUGUCCAGCCAGCAACCCUGGCGCGACCCCGGGAAGAAGCACAGGUUCUUUCGUCCAGUCGCCGCUGGAGGACCGAAAGUUUUGCUCGCUGCAAGUCUCUUCCUCCCAGAGUCCCAGUCACCCACCAUGCGACGUCCCAGAAGGAUCCCGGAGGCUUAGUGGGAACGAAAUCGGCUGUUUUGCACCCCUCCAUCCUUAUCCCUCAGGAUGCCUUCAGGAGUCAGAAGCAAAGGGGAAAUGGACAUAACUCCGAGAAACCGACCCAGCACUUGCACAGAGCAAGCAGGUUGGCCAGAGGACUUCGCAUCACCGGAGAACCUGACUGCCAGCAUGCAUUCAGACCCUGCUCUCUGUAUGACAGUGUAGCGUGUGACCUGUGGCAACAGUCAUCGUGGAGGUAGUCUUCCUAAGAAAUGUACCCUAGCCCGUGCAGAUGCAUCCUGUACACCCAGGCUCAGUAGCCACAGCCAACAGAAGUCUCCGCAAAGAUUCUCCCAAGAGUGAACGUCCAGCCUCAGCAACAGCUUUGCCACCAUGAGCUUCAUUGAUCACAUCCUACCACAACUAGGAGACCUAAACCUUGCUCACUGACAGCAUUUGAAGAUGCAAAUACUGCUAUGGAUUGGAAGGUGCCUGAGGAAUGAAAGGGGACAUAGCCAUUAUGACCCACCUCGUGAGAUUUUAGGGAAGAAAGACCAUAGUGAUUGCAUCUAUUAAGAAGCCCUUACUGACCUGCAUGGUGAGGCUCGUGUGAAAUUUCAGCAUGCGGGAGAUUGAGACAGAAGGAUCACAAGUUCAAGGCCACCCUAGGCUAUGUAUCAAGAACUUUUUUUGAACAAAGAAAAAAGAAACGGCAGUACAUAAUUUCUCCUAAGGCUGGAGAUGAGGCUGUCAGCUGAGAGCUCCUGCUUGCCGAAGACCAUGGGCUGGAAUCCCUGUACUGCAUGGACCAGAUGUGGUGGCACAUGAAGGUCAAGGCUAUCCUCAACCACACAUGAGUUCAAGGUCAGCCUGGGAUACAUGCAAUCCUGUCUCAAAACAAAGAACAGUUCUUUCAAGAGGAAAUCUUAACAUUAAGGCUGUGCUGAUCCAAGGUCCAUGGUAAUUUGUUACAGUAGCCCCAGAGCUCUCCUUGCAGAUGAAGUAGAAGCCUGGGUCUAAAGAGACUUUGGCAAUGCUUUCAAGGGAUUGUUCCAGGGUGAGUGGACUAGGAAAGAGAUGGCCCUUCAGAUCAGCCAUCCUGUGAUCUGAACCCUAAAUAUCAAGACAGCCUUGCCAACUGGAGAAAGUUUUCUUAGAGGAAGGCGCUGUCAGUGCAAAGUCCCUGUGGUGGAGUCCACGAGCCAGAACACACUCCUCUGAGGAAGGAUGGAAACCCUCUGUCAGCGGAGGCUGCUUCUGGCUGUUUUUGUCCUGCCUUGGAGCUAACCUGGAAGUAAGCAUGUGAGGCUCUUGAUCAAGUAUGAUCAAGGAGGAUUUUUUUGGAUUCAGCUAAGGUCGUGGUUUGGGCUUUAAACUCUGCUGGCAACGUGGAACAAAACGCAUGGUUGAGAUUGACCAGGGAGGAAACUGUCUUCCUAAGUCAGCAAAGGGACCCACAUUGAGUGUAUUGUUUGUGCAAAGGCCCCAGAGCUCAACAUCAGCAGAAAAUGUGACACGACAAAGCUGUCAGCAAAGGUGACAUGCAUCUGCAAUGCUUUCAAGAUCAGGGAACACCUCAAGGGGCUUGGCAAGUGUGCUGCUUUCAGAGAUGUGACUGGGUAGCACAGCUUAUGGGGUCAUAGGAACAGAUAGUUAUUCACUUAUUCAUUCAAUUAAUAAAUGUUUAAUGAGCACCUAUCAAGUUCCCAACACCAACUAGACUUUGGGGAAAUAGCAGUGAGUGGGCCAUAGACGGCGAUGACUUCACAGAACUUACUGGAAAAGGACACAGCACGUUUGCUGUGUGAUUAUUAUUUUCCACUAUUAUUAAAGUUUUUCGAUUAUUAAA
rnacentral:lncRNA from 1 species